rfam:Candidatus Woesearchaeota archaeon CG1_02_33_12 cg1_0.2_scaffold_11864_c, whole genome shotgun sequence.
GUCAACUACCUCUUCCUUUAGGAAGGGGCUUGGGAAAACUCAAGCUUGGUUGACUAGAGGGCAUUUAUGCAGAAGUUAGAAGAAAGAAAUACAUACACACCUACAAUUGUUCCGCAAGAUUGUAGCAACUGUGGUCUGCCAUUAAACAGUUCUGAGGGUAGGAACAGUGUGUCAGACUUAAAAACGUCUUCUAACAACCUCGAUGCGGCACUAAC